AGUGAACGCUGGCGGCGUGCUUAACACAUGCAAGUCGAACGAGAAACGGAUUUAGCUUGCUAAAUUGCAGUCUAAGUGGCGCACGGGUGAGUAAUGUAUAGGUAAUAUGCCUCUUACUAAGGGAUAACAAUUGGAAACGAUUGCUAAUACCUUAUAUGCCUUUACUACGAAAGUAUGCAAGGGAAAGAUUUAUUGGUAAGAGAUUAGCCUGUAUGGUAUCAGCUUGUUGGUGAGGUAAUGGCUCACCAAGGCUAUGACGCCUAACUGGUUUGAGAGGAUGAGCAGUCACACUGGAACUGAGACACGGUCCAGACUCCUACGGGAGGCAGCAGUGGGGAAUAUUCCACAAUGGACGAAAGUCGGAUGCAGCAACGCCGCGUGGAGGAUGACACAUUUCGGUGCGUAAACUCCUUUUAUAUAGGAAGAUAAUGACGGUACUAUAUGAAUAAGCACCGGCUAACUCCGUGCCAGCAGCCGCCGUAA
rnacentral:rRNA from 1 species